CGUGCGCGGUGCCCUCCCGCGGGGGAGAGGAAGGCGGGAGGCGGUGACGGCGAGGUGAUGGCGACGUUCUUCGGAGAGGUGGUGAUCGCUCCUUCCCGGGCCGGCGUGGACGAUGAGGAGGAGACCGAGGAGACGGCUGAGGAUAGGGAGAUCCGCAGGGAGCUGCAGCAGAAAAGGGAGAUCGCCGCGUUCUGGACGCCGGGAGCCGCGGGGAGCCCUGCCGAGGAACCCCUGCCGUGCUCCAGGUUUGUCGUCGCCGUAGGACACAACGCUGUCGCUUUUCUGUCAUCUUUUGUUCUGGAUUCCUUAUGUUGGAAAGUAGUUGGAGCUGUGAAACUGUGGAAUGAGUGGUGCCAGACAACCAAUGCAACAAGUGUCCUCCCAACAGAUUCUUUCUGCUUGUUCUAUCAAUUAAUAUCAGAUCCAACAAUUUUGUUGUGCCAGUGUAGUUGCUAUGUUGCUGAAGAUCAGCAGUUCCAGUGGCUUGAAAAGGUUUUUGGCCAUAUAAGGAAGGAAGGCUUACAAGUAACCAUUCUUUCAACAUGCCCUGUAGCUGAGUAUAAAACUCAGGAAUCCACUCUGACCCUUCAGUCUCCAUUUCUGAAAGCCUUGAAGACGAAAGAAUUCAAAGAGGAGGUCUGCUGUCCACUGCUGGAGCAACCGAACAUAGUGCGAGAUCUUCCUGCUGCUGUUCUGAGUUACUGUCAAGUAUGGCAGAUUCCUGCAGUACUGUACCAGUGCUACACUGAUAUCAUCAAACUGGACACGGUUACAAUUGAGGCAUUCAAACCUCUGCUUUCUUCUAAGUCCCUGAAGAAUUUAGUCAAGGAUGUAUCCGAAAGCACAAAGAUUUUGAAGAAGUUGCUGACAACUGGUGAAACUCACAAUAAUAUCUAUAUCUAAAGAGGACACUUGCAACACGGAUGACACUUGUUUUAAAUUCCAGUUUCUUCCAGAGAUGGCACUUUGAAAUUGGAUGGAAGACUUUCUCCAGGAGCAGCUUUGUGAGGAAAGAUAUCUUAGAUAUGAAAAGCAAUUUCUUUUCUUCUUCCUGGAGGAAUUGUCAUAUCCAAAUUGACUCCUCACAUAUACGAAAGAGUAAAUAUAGUCAAUGUAUUUUUGUCUAUUUUCUACUUCAGCUUAUAUUACCUAACUUAAAGAUUCCUGCCGUGAAGAAAAUAUUAUGUGCAUCUUUUUAUGUAUGUAUAUGUAUGUACAUGUGUAUAUACGUAUUUUUUAAUAGUGAUACCUUUUAAGGAAUUGCUAAUGGAAAAUAAGCUUGCUUUACAAAGAGGCAGGAAUGCAGGUCUUGUUUGAACUCAUGGGAGAGCUGUGAAUUGGAUUCACUGAGUAAAGGAUCACAGCAGUUCAGAAUGGCACUGCCUGCAGAUCAGGCAGGAAGAGGUACGUGCCCACAUUCAGUUCCCAUUUGCAGUACCUCGUCAAGGAGUUGUGUUUCUUUGCAGCUUCAGCCUUGGAGUUAUUGAAGUGCAGGAGCUGGCUUUCUGUCAGAUUUUGGGCAGAGGCAGGAACCAUCAUGGCAGUAGGCUUGCAAGGUGCUUCAGCAGGGUUCGCCAGGACAAACCUUGACAUUUAUUUCACAAAGUCUUUUAUGCUGAAUGCACAGUUUUUGGAGGAAGGUAGGCAUUCAAAUUCUAAAGUACUUGAAAAAAUUCUGAAACUUACUGAUAAUUUCACAGUGUAUUUAAAGUACUUGUUAGAGUUGGCAUGCAGUUUUGACUUGUUGAACUAAACUGCAUAUACACAUUUUACUUAAGAACAUGGUGAUUAAGAAAAUAUGCUUUGCUGGUGUUGUUGGUGAACACAGAUCUUUAAAUUGCACACAGUUUAUCCUUUGGUGCAAAAAGAAUAUAGCAGUUUUGGAGUUCUCUGCUUCCUUUAACUUUGACUUACACUGGAUGUUCAGUGAAACUUUCUGCACGUAUUCCUUUCAUGGAUCUGCCAUCCCUUCUGGUUGGAAAAUUGUUGGCUGAGUCAGCGUCCACUGAAGCAAGUAAUUCCAGGCUUCAGCAAGCCCACUGUAACUUCUGUUAGUUUGGGGUUUUAUUUGAUGUUUUAAACUGCUCACUGUAUCGUGGUUGCCACUGUAGUAGGACAUUCUUGAUGUGGGUUUAAAGUUGACUUACUCAAGACAUUGUUUUCAACUUCAGUUAAUAUACCUGGAGUUAAGCAAGUAACUGUUACUUGAAAGGGUCCUCUGUUUUCGAAUAGACUUGUGAAGUGCAGGGUAUGGUUCCUCCUAUGUUUUGUUUUGUUUUUUUUUACUUCUGCGUAGCAUUUUAAUUAAAACCCAUUUGUGCAACUGAUCUGAGUUGGGAAUUCUGUUGCUCUGGAAGAUUUGUUUGUUGGCUGCACCAGUUUCUUACUUGCACACUGUAUGUGUUUGGUUAACAAUAAAGUAUAUAACAAGAAAAAUAUUUCAAAAUAGGCAGGCUCUUACAGGAACUGUAAAUAUACUUCUAGUACUGCUUUUGUUACCUAUGCAGUGUUUAAAAGUGUUAUCCCUUGAGCUGUAAUUCAGUUUUUACCAGUUGAACUUAUGCUGAGAUGUGAGAACACUCUUAAACACCUUGAAUCAUAAAACCAUAGAAUGGCCUGGGUUGAAAAGGACCACAAUGAUCAUCCAGUUUCAACACCCCUGCUACGUGCAGGGUCACCAACCAGCAGACCAGGCUGCCCAGAGCCACAUCCAGCCUGGUCUUGAAUGCCUUGAAUGGGGCAUCCACAGCCUCCUUGGAAAAACAAGCAGGAGCUCUUGUUUUGUUUUCAGUUUUGUUGUGUUUUGUUUGUUUUCUUAAUAAUAGUGAUAAAACUCAAGCAGUUUGGCAGUUAAAAGACGAAAACUCUUGCAUACUUGUAAGUUAGAAUAUCUAUUAACCUUUGGAGCGUUCUGUCCAAGGUUGUGAUUGGUCUCCAUAGGCUGGAAACAUCUACCUGGGAUGUGAUGAUUUGGUUAGAUACCAUUUGGCUGGUUUUACUCCCUGCAUCCAGGUGUGUUUCCUUCCAGCUGUGAUCCACCCUGCAGGUGAGGUCAAGCUUUGUGCUAUACUAGUUCCCACUGGUGUGAAUCAGUCUGGACAUGUGCAUACUGUUACUGUGCAGUAAGCCAGGCUUGUUUUGGAAUCACAGAUGCACUGUGUUGGAAGGGACCUUAAGGAUCAUCCAUUCGUGCUUUUGUUACCGAGUUAGGCACUUCUCACCCCUUCCCCCUCCCUUAAGCCCAGCCCUCCUUGGUGCUCCAUCACAACACAAAGGUCAGAUGUCAAAGAUGAACAAGGCCCAAGAAGGAGGAAUUUUUCUGCUUCCACAGUGUAGAUGUCAAAUGUAGAAAAAAGGUGAAAAUUAAAUGAUAGUUUCUAAAGGUUUGCAGUUUUUAAAUGUAGACGUUUUCCUGAAUAGAUUGUGGCUUCUUUCCCUAUGUUUUCAUCAGAGGACUGUGGAGUGCUUUCUUAAUGGUAAACACACUGUAUUUCAUAUGCUUCGGAUUGAUAUUUUAAUUCUUCUGUUGGGUCAGAUUCAGACUUUUGAUCCUUUUUUCAUGGUUUACUGAAACAGACUUUUUUUUCCACUGGCUCUUUAAUGCAAAUGUACUGCCUCAUAGUGGAUUAAUGACCCAGGGAAGGAAGGUAGAAGGGUCCCCACGGUGAUUCAGGGGCAGCACUGUCGUGGCCCAACAGAUGUGGCAGAGGCACAGUCUUCCUUCAGAAAAAAUUCCAUGAGUAGGAAGGCUGCAAAUAGAAGAUCUGUAGCUGCACUAAUAUAGAAGCAGCCAUAUGGGAAAGGAGACAGUAGGAAAAAAAAACCUCUGAUUUGCUGAUCAUCCUAUGAAACUGGGGUUUGAGGUGGUUCUUGAAAAGUAGGAGAGGUGUUCAAGGUGUGCUGGCUUCCACAGGUGACAGAGGACGCCUCUAUGCUGCUCAGUUUAAUUUGUCUCUAAACUGGAUUGAGAUACAUGUGUUUUCAAUGCUGAACAAGCACGGAGGGCACCUGCAAAAUGCUGUGCCAGACCAUUUCUCUAAACCCUGGAAAGUACUUGCAACAAACCCUGUGGAUAGUUAGGAACAGGCAGUUCCUUUGUGCGUUCCUUGGGAAGUGCUGGUACAGAGCACCAGGAGCAGUUGGUAUGAGCCCCCAGUGGGACUCUACCCAUUUGCUUUGUGCAGAGUGACAGGAAAUGAGCACACCUGAGAUGGUCUUACAGUACCACACGUGCUGCUGUGCAAAGAGUGGAUUCGUAGAAAAGUGGCUCAGCGAUUUCUCUCACUGCUUUUAGUUCUGUAUGUUCUUUCACUUUGCUACUAGUUGGAUAAGGGCAUGUGUGAGGAACCUCUUCAUAUGUAGCAGUGAUAGGACAAGAGGGAAUGGCCUCAAGUUGCACCAGGAGAGGUUCAUGUUGAAUGAAACGUUUCUUCUCAGCAAGAGCAGUGAUGCAGUGGCACAGGCUGCCCAGGGAGGUGGUGCAGUCACCGUCCCUGAGGUGUUCAGGAGCCGUGUGGAUGUGGCACUGAGGGACGUGGGCAUGGAGGGGGUGGGCUGAUGGUUGAACUGGGUGCUCUUGGAGGUCUUUUCCAACCUCUAAGGUUCUAUGUUCAUUCACUUUAAUGGAGCACGUCAGUGUGGAGGUGAUGACACAGGCCAGAAAUAAAAACUGGAGGCUGGUCAGGUCAGUGGCACCCACGACUGACGACACAGCUUUCUAAAGCACAUGUAAAUGUUGGUUUUCAAUGAACUUAGUAAUUGCAUUUAAAAGAAAACAAAAAUGUUUUUUCCAAGUCAGCGCUGUAGAUCAGAUUUUGUAUUGGUUUAUUCUUGAGAUGUUGUAUGGUUUGGUUCUGAUUUGGGCUCAGCCACAUCUGAUGCCAUUCUCCACCAGGCAGCAGGUUCUGAUCCUCAAUGUGGUGACUCCAUCAGGGCAAGGCAGAGGACUCAAGGCCCUCCAUAAUGGUCAGUUGUCUGGGAGGUAAGCCAACCAUGCCUUCUUAGCUUCAACAUGUGGCUUCCAGACGUCAGCAUCCCGUGCGUGUUAUGAAAAUUCAUGAGUAUUGAAUUGAACCCAUAUUUUAAUGAUUUGGCCACCUGUAUCAUAUCCUAAUAAUCUUAAAAUAGAGGACUCGAGGUCCUCUGGAUAAUUAUUUGUAGCAGAUGUUAAAUCUUUGGUGUAUUUGACACACUUACACAGUGGGGGAAUGAUAUUAAACAUCAUGCUAACCAAAAUAACCCAAAACAUAUUUAUUUCAAAGAAUUAGAAUGGUUCAUAGCAGGAAGUGGACGUGGGAAGCUGUGUCCAUUGUUGUGGUUUGUUUUAAAGGUGUGCUUAAAACAAGAUGAAAAGGGCUUUGGUCAUUGCUGCACUUGGACAGUGUUAUUCGUGUGUUUCAAAGACAAAAAGUGUUUUUUGUAUUUCAUUCCAGCGACUUACCCAGCUGUGAUUUUUGUGGCCCACGUUUUUUUUUUUUAUUGUUAUUAUUUUUGGUACACUUAAACAUUCUGACUUUAAAAGUGUAAUUACGGGGUGAGAAAUCUUAAGUGUCAAACCCACUUUGUGAUGACUGAAAAAAGAUCCCUUUGGUGAGGACUUGAGAGUCAGAAACUCACUGACCACGCAUCACCCAGCUGUGCAGGAAAGGUGCAGCAAUCCCAAGUUGUUCAGAAACAGGCUUGAAGUAGUAUUUAUGUGUGCUGUACUUCUGAUGUUUGGUAAGAUAGGUUGAGGGAGAUGGUUCAGCCUGGAGAAGAGAAGGCUGCAGGGAAACCUCGCUGCUGACUUUAUAAAGGAACUUCCAAACUGGAGGAAGACUGACUUCUAACAUAGGUAGAUUGUGAUAGGUCAAGGAGGAAUGGUUUCAAGCUAUGAGAGGGGAUAUUUAAGUUAGACGACAGGGGGAAAUACCUUGCUCAGGGCAGUGAGGCACUGGCACAGCUGCCCAGAGAAGCUGUGGUGCCCCAUCCUUGGAGGUGUUAAAGGCCAGGUUAGGAUGGGGCCCUGGGCAGCCCUCCCCACAGCAGGGGUUGGGUGGAAUUUGAGGUCAUCUUAAGGAUUGGUUUUAAAAGUCCUGGAAUAGUAUUUUGGGUAAUUCUGGAGAGGAAUCUACCUCUGAGAAUCUUCCAAAGACAGAGAAAGGAUGUUGGAGGGUAGAUGAAACUGUAAUGGAAUCUGUUGUUUUCCUGCAAGGGUUUUGCUCAGUCGCUGUAAAUGCUGUUGAUUUCUGUAAGGUUUGGACCACUUUUCUCCUGUGUAAAUCGUAUAUAAAUUUAACCAACAAAUAAAAUUACUGUUGAAAUCCUGCUGUUGUUGAAGACAUGAAAGAAAUAUGUAGAAAUAUCCAGAACAAGCAAAACAGUUUCUGAACUGUCACCUGUGAAAAUGAAAGCUAUAAAUCUUGAGAAGUGAUGUGGAAAAGGAAUACCUUUUCUACAGAGUAAGUUUUUUUUGCUUUUUUUUUAAAUCAAUUGCACGUAUCUUUAAAAUUAUAACAUUAAGAAAAUGAAAAAACAGAACUUUGUGGGCAGUAUAAACAGUGAAAGACAACAGUAGUGUAACCUAUAUACUGUCCUGCAAAUAUUUCAGCAACUCAUCACCAGCACCAAAUGGGACCUUGGUGGCUUUCAGGUUACCAGAUUGUUUGUGUUUCUGUGUGUUCAAUGAAUUCUUUCUUUUUUUGCCCUUUGAUUUAAAACUGUGUGAACAUUUUCUUCUCUUGGGUGGUGCUGUGUGGAGCCGGGAGUUGGACACGAUCCUUGUGGGCUCCUUCCAGCUUGGGAUAUCCGCUAUUUCUUCUUUAUUUCUUGAGUGACUGAACCAAAAUAACUUGGAAACGUGAGGAUGGAGGGGUCUGUUUAUAAAAAAAAAA